CCUACGGGAGGCAGCAGUGAGGAAUAUUGGUCAAGGGGCGGGAGCCUGAACCAGCCAAGCCGCGUGAGGGAAGAAGGUACAGCGUAUCGUAAACCUCUUUUGUCAGGGAACAAAGGCGGGGACGAGUCCCCGGAUGAGGGUACCGGAAGAAAAAGCAUCGGCCAACCCCGUGCCAGCAGCCGCGGUAAGACGGAGGAUGCGAGCGUUAGCCGGAUUUAGUGGGUUUAAAGGGUGCGCAGGUGGCCUGGUAGGUCAGCGGUAAAAGCCCGGGGCUCAACCCCGGCGAGCCGUUGAAACUGGCGGGCUGGCGUUGGAGUGCCGUACGCGGACUGCGCGGUGUAGCGGU
rnacentral:rRNA from 1 species